CUACCCUUGACAUGUCCAGAACCCUGCAGAGAUGCGGGGGUGCCCGAAAGGGAAUUGGAACACAGGUGCUGCAUGGCUGUCGUCAGCUCGUGUCGUGAGAUGUUGGGUUAAGUCCCGCAACGAGCGCAACCCUUAUCAUUAGUUGCUACGCAAGGGCACUCUAAUGAGACUGCCGGUGACAAACCGGAGGAAGGUGGGGAUGACGUCAAGUCCUCAUGGCCCUUAUGGGUAGGGCUUCACACGUCAUACAAUGGUCGGUACAGAGGGUUGCCAAGCCGCGAGGUGGAGCCAAUCCCAGAAAGCCGAUCGUAGUCCGGAUUGUUCUCUGCAACUCGAGAGCAUGAAGUCGGAAUCGCUAGUAAUCGCGGAUCAGCAUGUCGCGGUGAAUACGUUCCC
rnacentral:rRNA from 1 species